UAAGCGCAAGAAGAGACAUAUCUUGUGGACACGCGUCAGGUUGAUACAGGGAAAUCUCCUCCGCUCUCUCAUCUUUAUCUCUCUCUCAGCCGGUUUCGAUUCCAAAAUCUCGUCCUUGAUCUCUCUUCGAUGAUUAUCGGUCAGCGUCUCUCUCGGUGGUUGUCGUACGACCUCGGCGUUCAAGGAGAAGGGAGUCCUCAGCGUCAACGAGUUCGUGCUUGCCGGCGAUGAUCUCGUCUCCAAGUGCCCUACCUGGUCAUGGGAGUCUGGUGACCCUGGCAAAAGGAAGUCAUACUUACCCUUGGAGAAACAGUUUUUGAUUACGUAAAACGUACCUUGUCUACGGAGAGCUGCAUCUGUGGCAGAGGAAUAUGAAGUUGCUGGAGGAGAAGUGUUGGUUGAUGAUGAAGAUGAUGAUGGUUGACUGGCUACACACGGGAAACCGAAAGAUAAAGGCAACGAAGAUGAGAACUUGCCGUCCAUGAAGAGGUUGUGGCUGGUGGUGAUGGAAUCAAACUAUCCUCAUAGCAACUGUGUAUGUGCCUACUGCUAAAGGACCUUUCCUUGAGGAUCUCUCUCGCUCCGUGGUGCCUCCAAAGAAGCCAAGCAUAGCUGAGAAGCCUGCAAUAUCUGUGUCUCCGUUCUCUACGGUUCGUGCAUCUCACAACACAUAUAACUCUUCAACUCUUACCAUUCUUCUCAUGUUCAGAAAAUAAUCACACACUUUUUAUACAUUUUAAUCACAAAUUCAUACAUUUUGAUCACAAAUUAUACAA